rnacentral:rRNA from 1 species
UGGGGAAUAUUGCACAAUGGACGAAAGUCUGAUGCAGCGACGCCGCGUGGAGGAUGACGGUCUUCGGAUUGUAAACUCCUGUUAAGAGGGAAGAAAGAAUCAUGAGUAAUAUUCAUGAGUGAUGACGGUACCUCUAGAGAAAGCUCCGGCUAACUUCGUGCCAGCAGCCGCGGUAAUACGAAGGGAGCAAGCGUUAUUCGGAAUUACUGGGCGUAAAGGGCGCGUAGGCGGUCUGUUAAGUCAGUUGUUAAAGACCAUGGCUUACCCAUGGAAGUGCGAUUGAUACUGGCGGACUAGAGGACAAGAGAGAGGAGUGGAAUUCUCGGAGUAGCGGUAGAAUGCGUAGAUCUCGAGAGGAACACCGAUGGCGAAGGCAGCUCUUUGGCUUGUACCUGACGCU